rnacentral:tRNA from 1 species
GCCGAAGUGGUGGAAUUGGUAGACACGCAGGAUUUAGGAUCCUGUGCCUUCGGGCGUGAGGGUUCAAGUCCCUUCUUCGGCACGA